CGGCAGGACAGUGAAUCGGGUAUCUGGAGCUGUUCUCGGUCUGAAAACAUCAGCAUCGCAGCAUCCUUUCAACCGCAUUUCAUGACCACAGACAGCGGGUGAGGAUACCGCGGCUCCACCCCUGGCAACCAAUCGGAUUCGACACAUCCACAUAAGUGAUCUCUGAUUGGAAGAACAGCCUGUCUGUUAUAUUCGCUCUCUAGCUUGUCGUUGCUUCUUUGCUACACCUGUAGGGAUGCUGAAAAGGCAUGCAGACAUGAACAACAAACCAAUUAUCCUACUGAGCACCUCUUCCGGAACGUAGAGGAGGUCCGCUGAGAGGACUGGCGUCGGCCCCCGUCAGCCCCCGUCAC